rnacentral:rRNA from 1 species
ACGCUGGCUACAGGCUUAACACAUGCAAGUCGAGGGGAAACGACGGGGAAGCUUGCUUCCUCGGGCGUCGACCGGCGCACGGGUGAGUAACGCGUAUCCAACCUGCCUCUGACUGAGGGAUAACCCGUCGAAAGUCGGCCUAAUACCUCAUGGCAUCGUCUGCGGGCAUCCAACGACGAUUAAAGAUUUCAUCGGUCAGGGAUGGGGAUGCGUCGGAUUAGCUGGUUGGCGGGGUAACGGCCCACCAAGGCGACGAUCAGUAGGGGUUCUGAGAGGAAGGUCCCCCACAUUGGAACUGAGACACGGUCCAAACUCCUACGGGAGGCGGCAGUGAGGAAUAUUGGUCAAUGGGCGAGAGCCUGAACCAGCCAAGUAGCGUGCAGGAAGACGGCCCUAUGGGUUGUAAACUGCUUUUAUGCGGGGAUAAAGUGCAGGACGUGUCCUUCAUUGCAGGUACCGCAUGAAUAAGGACCGGCUAAUUCCGUGCCAGCAGCCGCGGUAAUACGGAAGGUCCGGGCGUUAUCCGGAUUUAUUGGGUUUAAAGGGAGCGUAGGCCGUGGAUUAAGCGUGUUGUGAAAUGCAGGUGCUCAACGUCUGCACUGCAGCGCGAACUGGUCCACUUGAGUGUGCACAACGCAGGCGGAAUUCGUCGUGUAGCGGUGAAAUGCUUAGAUAUGACGAAGAACUCCGAUUGCGAAGGCAGCUUGCGGGAGCACAACUGACGCUGAAGCUCGAAAGUGCGGGUAUCGAACAGGAUUAGAUACCCUGGUAGUCUGCACGGUAAACGAUGGAUGCCCGUUGUCAGGCUGUUUCAGCCUGGUGACCAAGCGAAAGCAUUAAGCAUCCCACCUGGGGAGUACGCCGGCAACGGUGAAACUCAAGGAAUUGACGGGGGCCCGCACAAGCGGAG